rnacentral:lncRNA from 1 species
CUGUGAUUUGUAAUUUUAGUAUCCUGUUCAAGAAAUCUUUGCCUAAUCCAAGGUCAUAAAGACAUUUCCUUAUGUCUUCCUCUAAAAUCUGUAUUGUUUUACCUUUCAUAUUUAGAUCUGCAACCCACCUGGAAUUGAUUUUUGUUUAUGGUGGGAGGUAAAGGUCAAGAUGCAAUAUUUUCCUCAUAAAGUAAGUAUCCAGUGGACCCAGCAUCACUUCUUGGAAAGACCCACUUUUCAGCAUUGCACUACAGUAGAGCUUUGGUUAUAAAUCUGGUAUCUGACUGUAUGUGUGGAAGAUCCUACUAAGUUUUUGAGGAAGUUCUACUGUCAAAGACACUAUGUUAUUCAGAAAUCUGGCAUAUUUAUCUAUUUAUUUUUGAGUAAUAAAGGAAAUGGGCUAUUUAAAAUCCUAAGCCAUCACGUAGCUUCACAAAGAUCCUAAUUUUGUUAAUAGGACUUCCAAAAAUUUGCUCUCUAUAUUUUGAGAUAUCUGGUUAUUAUCCAUUUUCCUGAUCCUUGGAAAAUAUAUUGCUUGCUUUAGACAAGCUCACAGAUGUUCCAUCUGCCCAAACUCUUCUUUCUGUUUCACUGGACAGGAAGUAGCAAGCCAUGCCAUGAAUGAUGUUAUGAAUCCUGGCAAGGAUAAAGAAGCUUUUAAAGGCAUGUCCAUCAACUUUUUCCAAGAGAGCCAGAAAAGGAUCCGGGAGCCAUGCAUUCCUGCUGCUUCCUGUUUUUCCCCAGCCUGGGAUGGAGCAAGGGAUUUUGCCCAUUACAAAUGAAGCUAUAAACAUUCAUAUACAGGUUUUCAUAUGAUCAUAAGUUUCCAUUUCUCUGGAAUAAUUGCCCAAGAGUUCAACUCCUGGGUCAUAUGGAAUAAGUUGUAUCAUCACAGAACCUCAAAGAGUGCUCAUUAAAUUUUCUGAGCACUUGCUCUAUUCCCUGUGUUUCCAUCAUACAGAGGCAGAGAUAUGAACACCUACUCUGCCCUACAACUCUUAUAACAGAUGAUGGAGAAUAAUAAGAAACAUGUAUCAACCUUUGAGAAUGUCCCCUUUGCCAGUCACUUUACCUUUCUGCAUCAGAUACAAGUGACCAGAAGAGAAACAUGUAUAGACAACCAUCCUUCAAAAAUGGAAGGGCCGAAGCAGAUUGAUCCAAGGCAUAAGGUGCCGCAGUAAGAUCCUCUCCUUUGGGAAUUGGAAAGCUUGCAGAAUGUUAGGAAUCACUGGACUGAACCAUCUCAACAGAAAAACCCUGGAGAAAAGAUCCUAGAUUUCCGGAGUUCAGUCCUUGGAACCUCUCAGUUCUCUGCUGUUCUCCAGCAGUCCUUUGGGUUCAGGAUUCUACCUCUGCAUCCUUCCUUUAAAUUCUCUGACCUCUCUUUUUAUUUUGAUUGAGGAUUGAAGCUUAAGGGAUGUGCCACGUUUAGAUCCACAAAGAGGGGGAAGAAAAGCAUCGGACAACGGGGGAAAGGAUGUGUUAUAUUAUAAAAGUUAGUUGAGGAGAAAAUUUCAAGUAGAAAAAAGUGGUCAAUGAUGGAGACAUUGUCAAGGAGAAUGUGAAAAAGUAGGGAAGGUGUGCUGAUUCUGGCAACUGGCAAAUCACUUUUGAACUUUGAAAAUGAAGUUUCAAGGAACAAGAACUAUGUUGUAUAGAGUGACGUGAGUAGAGAGAAAACAAAAGCAUUUUUGAUAUGUCUGAUAUAAAAUAAACACAUUAGCUGAACAAGUUAACAAGUAAUAGAGUUUUUCUACUCAGGUUGCAGCUAUAUGGCCAUGUUCGAGGAAGUUGAAGAGGAAACAAAUAAUGAAGUAUUCAAUAAAUGAAUAUUUCUAAAAAGCAGGCGAGCAUGGAGCUAAUAACUCAACACGAAAUUUUCCUUGGAAAAGGAGAAGUAAAUGAGAAGUAAGGGAUGAUGGAGGCCAUCAGUUAUUUUGAGGUGAUGAAACAGGUGGACAUGCAAGCGACUACUGAGAGUAUAUUGAUAUCUUCAUUAGGACACAAGACCUGCCUCAUAAUUUGGAUGGCCAAGUGCAGAACAAAAAUGAAGAGCCUAUAUUUCAAAAAUUAAGAAUUUCAGGAAGGUAACAACAGAACUUUAGGACUUUAAGCCAAAUGUGGGC